rnacentral:rRNA from 1 species
AACGAACGCUGGCGGCAUGCCUAACACAUGCAAGUCGAACGAGACCUUCGGGUCUAGUGGCGCACGGGUGCGUAACGCGUGGGAAACUGCCCUUAGGUUCGGAAUAACUCCCCGAAAGGGGUGCGAAUACAGGAUAAUGUCUUCGGACCAAAGAUUUAUAGCCUUUGGAUGGGCCCGCGUUGGAUUAGCUAGUUGGUAGGGUAAAAGCCUACCAAGGCGACGAUCCAUAGCUGGUCUGAGAGGAUGAUCAGCCACACUGGGACUGAGACACGGCCCAGACUCCUACGGGAGGCAGCAGUGGGGAAUAUUGGACAAUGGGCGAAAGCCUGAUCCAGCAAUGCCGCGUGAGUGAUGAAGGCCUUAGGGUUGUAAAGCUCUUUUACCCGGGAUGAUAAUGACAGUACCGGGAGAAUAAGCUCCGGCUAACUCCGUG